CUCAUAAACUCAUGAGCCAAAAAAUUUACGACAGACUGGCAAUCUCGAGUCAGUCACAGCCCUCACAAGGCUGCGCCUCACGCUACUGUACAACCAGCACCAACUGAAACUCGGUUACUUGGUUCAAGACGUUAACCCUGCACAUAUGAUCCCGGCACAUUGGGGAAACAAGGCAUAUAUAUGUAUGAUGAUGUAUCUAUGAUGGUCAGACCCAGGGAUUCUAGUUAAAUCGGGAACUGACCAUCCCUUGGUUGUGCUGGCAUUUGGAAUAUGUAGAGAUGCUUAUUUGUGCAGGUACUCAUCCAGAAGGGAUUUUCUCCCAAACAAACGGGCGAGCACUCUCAGGCUCCAGGUACCAGCACCUCUGAAC